UACGGAGGGUGCAAGCGUUGUUCGGAAUCACUGGGCGUAAAGGGCGCGCAGGCGGCCUGAUUAGUCAGAUGUGAAAGCCCACGGCUUAACUGUGGAAGUGCAUUUGAAACUGUCAGGCUUGAGUACCAGAGGGGAAAGUGGAAUUCCAGGUGUAGAGGUGAAAUUCGUAGAUAUCGGGAGGAAUACCGGUGGCGAAGGCGACUUUCUGGCUGGAUACUGACGCUGAGGCGCGAAAGCGUGGGGAGGCAAACAGGAUUAGAUACCCCCGUA
rnacentral:rRNA from 1 species